rnacentral:rRNA from 1 species
CAGUCGAGGGGCAGCGGGGAGGAAGCUUGCUUUCUCCGCCGGCGACCGGCGCACGGGUGAGUAACACGUAUGCAACCUGCCCCUGUCAGGGGGACAACCCGCCGAAAGGCGGGCUAAACCCGCGUACAUGCCACCGGGGCAUCCCGGAGGCAGGAAAGGCUUCGGCCGGACAGGGAUGGGCAUGCGGCGCAUUAGGCAGUAGGCGGGGUAACGGCCCACCUAACCGACGAUGCGUAGGGGUUCUGAGAGGAAGGUCCCCCACACUGGUACUGAGACACGGACCAGACUCCAACGGGAGGCAGCAGUGAGGAAUAUUGGUCAAUGGUCGGGAGACUGAACCAGCCAAGCCGCGUGAGGGAUGAAGGUACAGAGUAUCGUAAACCUCUUUUGUCAGGGAACAAAGGCGGGGACGCGUCCCCGGAUGAGUGUACCUGAAGAAAAAGCAUCGGCUAACUCCGUGCCAGCAGCCGCGGUAAUACGGAGGAUGCGAGCGUUAUCCGGAUUUAUUGGGUUUAAAGGGUGCGCAGGCGGUCUGUUAAGUCAGCGGUCAAAGCCCGGGGCUCAACCCCGGCCCGCCGUUGAAACUGGCAGUCUCGAGUUGGAGAGAAGUAUGCGGAAUGCGCGGUGUAGCGGUGAAAUGCAUAGAUAUCGCGCAGAACUCCGAUUGCGAAGGCAGCAUGCCGGCUCCACACUGACGCUGAGGCACGAAAGCGUGGGUAUCGAACAGGAUUAGAUACCCUGGUAGUCCACGCAGUAAACGAUGAAUGCUGGCUGUCCGGNGGGACUGACCCCUGGGUGGCGA